UUAGUUGGGGCAAUGCAACAUGUUGACGUUACUAAUUAAGGUAAAUCCCAGAGAAAGGCCUUCACUGGAUAUUCUUUUUAUACCUACCUUCUCGCGACUAUACAGUAAUACAAUAAGAAAUCAAAAAUUAAAAAAACUCUUACACGGGGUUAAAGUAUUUGGCGCCGAAUUUAUUUUAUAGUAAAUUAAAAAUAAUAAUUUUUCAUCUUCUCUAGCAGAAGAAAAGAAUUUCAAGAGGAUCAGAUCAGUUAUCGGGUCGGGGUUACCCGAAUCGGACAUUCACCAAGCCCUCUCCCAUUGUGGAAACAACCUUGAUUAUCGUCAACUUCAUUCUUGAUGAUUAUGUCACAGUCAAACGCAUCAUCACCAUCACCAGUUCCCUGAUUUCAACUCAGGUCAUCAAGCAACGAGGUUAGUGGCAACCGGAAGAACCCAGGUUACCGUGUUAAAGAAGAAGCCGAAAUGGGGAUUGAGAACGAGGCCUGUGUACAAGAAGAAAUGGGUCUCGAUAGUGAAAACCAAUUAUUUCCCAAAACAGAUGAGCCAAGCAUCACAAUGAAGGAGGAGACCAAAGAACGGAGAUCGUUGUGAAAGAGGGGCUAUUAAUCAUGUACAAGGAAGAAAAAAAGAAAUCAGAGGGUAAUCAACAGGGGAGGUCAUAAUGAUGAGCCUGGAAGAAAGGAUGUCAAUGUGAAGACAAAGGUUGUUGAAGAGAGAAAGGUCAAUCGUGUUUCAGUGGAAGAUGGAGAUUUCCUUAAGAGAAUGAAUGGUAUUUAGUGGGGGGGACUAUGGUUAAUGCGAUUUCUAGUACUAAGGGAAUGAAGUUGGUGGACAAGCAAAUUGUUUAUUUUGUUUUCCUAAUCAAGACAUGAAACUUGCUCGCUUGUCAACAAAACGAUCUCCAGAGAUUGGUCUGCUACUUAUGGAAUGUGGAAUUGUGUCAUCCCGCUUGUGAAUUCAGCCAAGAUGACAGUUCCAGGACGUUGUGUAGCUGCACCAGAAAACCUUUCUAGGUUUAUUCUGUCUUCGAUAGUUGGAUAAAUCAACAUGGAGUUGCUGAAAAUAAAACCAUGUCAAAAUGGAGCCUAGAGGCCCCUGCAGACAUUGACUAUACAGUUUAUCCCCUCCUUACUCUGUUGAAGUUGCGGAAAAUAAAACCAUAACAAGAGGCUGAAUUCACUCUCGAGGAACUUGAUUCUCGAAAACAUUUACUGAAUCUUCAAAGUGAUCCUGAUGAAGUGGCUGCAAUUUUACCUAUGGUGAGUAGGAGAAAGGGUACCCAGCCGAGUUGAGAACAAAACAAAGAUGAACAAACUAUAUCAGACUCAUCUCUUAUUAAGCUUCUUGUUGCAGAAGAUACUUGUAACUUGGAGGUGAAGUGCUUCGAAUGCUGUCUUAUGUUUUCAGAAUCCAGAAAAAUAAUUGCUUUUGAACUCUUCUAAUUCCUCUCUUGAUUAUGCACGAGAUGGGGCCUCCAAGCACAGUAAUGUGUGAUUUAAGGGCAUACAGAAACAAGUUCUCUACUGGAUAUCAGAAUCAAGAAAGGAACUGAUGUUGAGGAAGCAGCAAAAACUCUUCAUCCAUGCUGGGUUGCCUAUCGGAUAGGUGACAAGUAUGUAGUUUCCCAUAUGCCUGGAGUAUGCAGAUGACCCUGUGAUCACACCAUGUGCACACAGGAUGUGCAGGGAAUGUCUCCUCUCAAGUUGGUAAACGCCAACAACUGGGCUAUGUACAAUCUUUCGAACACUGCUGAAGGAAACUGACCUCAUAACAUGCCCAACAGAGAACAAGUUCUGGGUUGAUGUUGAGAAGAACUAGGAGGAGUCUUUCAAAGGUUUAAAGCUCCUGGAAUGCUUGGAACAUAUUCGUAGGUAAGGAUCUAGUGGAAAAGAGCAUUGUUUUUUUAGUAAGCGGUCAUCAUUUUUGGACCUAGCAGAGAUCCCAUUGAGAAGGAGAGGAACUGGGUUCUUCAGGUUUGAUUAAAAAAAAAAAAAAAAAACUGGCACAGAAGCAAAGGCAGAGGAGGGUUUUAAGGAGUUCAAUGAAACCAAAGAAAAAAUGGUAUUGCUGAUGCCUUGGAAAGCUGCUGGUGUGUGUAUGAAUCUAACUGCAGCCUCAAAUGUCUUUUUAGUGGUUAUUUUCAAAUCUCCUGGAUCCCACCAGGAAUCCUGCAGUAGAGGACCAAGCAAUAAUGCGAAUCCACUGGAUUGGACAAAAACACACAGUUUCUGUUAGAAGAUUCAUUGUUAAGGUCAGAUUUUUCUCCUAGCUUUUCAAGGUUUCAGAAAUUAAGUUGAAUUCAUGGAAGCUCUAGUUUCUGGAAUUUGUCGAAAUCUGUCCUGAAACUUCUUACUUUGGGUUCUUUGAGAAUUCUAAGAAAUUGAUUAGCGCAUUCCACGUUGAUGUAGAUAUAAUGGUCCAUGGUUUAAUUUAUUAAGACUUACCAUCAUCUAGCACAAGAAAACUGUUGGGGCCAAUUGAAAAUUAGAUCUUAGCCUGACUUGGUUGAAUAUUAGAUUAAGAUUUUGAGUGUAAAACAAGAAAGUCAUCCAAGCCUAAUUAGUCCGGAUAUAAUUUACCAAUUGGAAGGCUUUUCUUCCAGGUCCUUGUCACAGGCCUAUUUUUUUUUUUUUUCCUGCGUAAUUGUUGUGGCAAUUUGAGUGCUGACAAUUAACUGUUCAUCUAUUCCUAAAGCUUCUUCAACAAUGGCUCAAGGUCAUUUUCACUAUACUCGCUGUAAUAUGUAUUCCUCCUGUUGCAUUUGCCUGGAAAUCCAGCAUUGCAUCAAAUUGCUUUACAAGGCAUCUCAGCCUGCACUAUUGGUCUAGAUUCAAAUUUCUGGAAUAUAAUUUGAAAUGAAAUUCUGUUUCACUCUUAUUAUAUUGUGCCUGAGCUUUGCAUUAGUCAGGAUUGUGCUUUGAUAAACAACAGGGCUAGCAGUCUGUGUUGAAUAGUCCACGAGGAAUAAUUGGUCACGUAUUUGACUAACCUUUCUUUAACCUUGAGUUUUACUAAUCAACAGGCCUGUUAACAAGAUUUUCUAAGCGGUCAGCACUUUUUUUAUCUGUCUGUGCCAUUGUUAGAACUUAUCGCCUAAUCAUGCAUGGUUUUGCUGUUGACCAAAGUGAGAAGGCACCGUGGAGCAACGCCUACAGCGUGUCCAGGCAAGGAAGCGACGCAUGAUUGACGAAGUGCCCAUUUAGAAUUUAGAGUUUAGAAUUGAGGUAUUCUAGCAAAUUAUUCUCUCUUAGAAGCUGAAUGAAUCAAACAACAGGCCAGUAAGGAUUGAUGACGACCAGUGUAGGCCAUGCACGUGGUGGUCAAACAUUGGAGGAACAAGGCAUGGGAUAGACACGUGACCAUGAACCCAUCAAUGGGAUAGACACGUAGCCAUUGAUGAUUGUUCGAUCAAAGCAAAGAACCACUGACAUUUUGUAGGCUGUCACAUGCGUCAUGUAACGUUAGCAUAAAGCAUCUUUGUGUUGACCCUACGGAUGGGUCAAAAAUAUGUUGGUGUAGGAGUUUAGAAAAGCCAGCCAGCCACAGCUUUCAAGUUAGCUGGGUCGGUUAAAGUGUAGUUGUUGUUAUCCGAGAGAUAGAAGCGUCAAGUGUCAGAAACCCAACUCAGCCUGUACUUUUGACCAUUUUACUUUGGCUCUAUGUUGCCUUUGCCUAUCGGCUUGGGUUUCUUCUGUUGCUGUUGCUGUUGCUUCUCUCUAAACUUCGCCUGGCUCGGCUUAUUAUUUUAUUGAAGCCGCUCUUAUUUUAUUUA